UACCUGGUUGAUCCUGCCAGUAGUCAUAUGCUUGUCUCAGUUCAGGCCUUAAUACGGUGAUACCGCGAAUGGCUCAUUAAAUCAGCUAUGGUUCAUUGGAUUGUGCCCGUUAGAUGGAUAACUGUAAUAACUCUAGAGCUAAUACAUGCCUCGAUGCCCUGACCCUGCUCGUGUUUGCCUUGCUUGUAUGUGGUAGGGGAUGGGUGCACUUAUUAGACCAGAAGCCAACCAACCAACUGUGCGUGUGCGGCCCACUGCGAGGUGGACGUGGCGUGCGUUGUGACACUCACUUCUGGUGACUCUGGAUAAUUGAUGCAGAUCGCAGUCGGCGCUGAGUCGGCGACGGGUCCUUCAAAUGUCUGCCCUAUCAACUUUCGAUGGUAGGUGACCUGCCUACCAUGGUGGUGACGGGUAACGGGGAAUCAGGGUUCGAUUCCGGAUAGGGAGCCAGGGAAAUAACUACCACUUCCAAAUUACCCACUCCCAGCACGGGGAGGUGGUGACGAAAAAUACCGAUGCGGGACUCCUUCAAGAGGCUCCGUAAUCGGAAUGAGCGGACUCUAAACCCCUUCACGAGGAUCAAUUGGAGGGCAAGUCUGGUGCCAGCAGCCGCUGGUAACUCCAGCUCCAACAGCGUAUAUUAAAGUUGCUGCAGUUUAAAAGCUCGUAGUUGGAUCUCGGUAGCAUUGUUGCCUGUUGGCGAUUGAGCGGCCGGUGUGUGGUUACUGGCAGCAGCAUGUUGGUGGGCCGGUCAGUAGUUCGGCUGGUGGGUGGCGUUUGUUGCGUUAGGGCGGUUGGUUGGUUAGUUGACCAGCUGAUCUGCUCUUUGCUCGCUCGCUUGCUUGCUGGCCGAUUGGUGAGCUGGCUCGCUUGUUCGUCUGCAGCGUUGGGGGGACUGUGCAGUCGUGGCCAUGAGCAGGCACUGUCGCGUCAAGCCGACAAGGUGGUGGUGUCGCCUGUAAGCCAUGUCUGUGGUGUAGUCGUCGCAGGUGUGGGCGGGUGUUGGGCAGUGCCCUGCACGCGCUGUGGGGCCUGUCGGCUCGUCCACAUGCCUUUGGAUGCCCUUGAUUGGGUGUCUGCGGGCGGAUGGCACGUUUACUUUGAACAAAUUUGAGUGCUCAAGUCAGGCCGAUGUUGCCUGCAAAGUUUUGCAUGGAAUAAUGGAAGAGGACUUCGGUUCUAUUUCGUUGGUUUCCGGAUCCGAAGCAAUGAUCGAGAGAGACAGGCGGGGGCGUUUGUAUGGCUGCGCUAGAGAAUGAAAUUCAUGGAUCGUAGCCAGACAAACUAAAGCGAAGGCCUUCGUCAAGCAUGUUUUCAUUGGCCAUGAGCGAAAGUCAGAAGCUCGAAGACGAUCAGAUACCGUCCUAGUUCUGGCCACAAUCGAUGCCAACUGACGCUCCGUGGUGGUAGUGAUGUUGCCUUCCCCACGGGCAGUCGCCGGGAAACCGUUAAGUGUUUGGGUUCCGGGGGAAGUAUGGUUGCAAAGCUGAAACUUAAAGGAAUUGACGGAAGGGCACCACCAGGAGUGGAGCCUGCGGCUUAAUUUGACUCAACACGGGAAAACCCACCCGGGCCGAACACUGUGAGGAUUGACAGGUUGAGAGCUCUUUCUUAAUUUGGUGGUUGGUGGUGCAUGGCCGUUCUUAGUUGGUGGAGCGAUUUGUCUGGUUAAUUCCGAUAACAAAGGAGACUCCAGCCGGGUGCGCAGCUUGCGCCCUCCUCUCCCCUCUUGCGCUUCUUCGUGAGAGUGAGGGGUGGGGGGGGGUGAGAGUGCCGGUUGACGCUCAUGAUUGGUUUGUCUGGCGUUGGCCUGCGGAUGCGGCGCGAACGCUUACUUCUUAGAGAGACAAGCAGGAGAAGCCGCAGGAGAUAGAGCAAUAACGGGUCUGUGAUGCCCUUAGAUGUCCGAGGCCGCACGCGCGCUACAAUGACGGUGUCAACGAGUGAGACCUUGUGGCCCGAGAGGGUUGGGCAAGAUGGUCCCUCACCGUCGUAACAGGGAUCGGGACUUGGGAUUGCGCUGAUUACGUCCCUGCCCUUUGUACACACCGCCCAUCGCUACUACCGAUUGAAUGGUUCAGCAAGAUCCUUGGAUCGGCGUCAUUGCGGCAGUUGCCGGAAGGUCAUUGUCCUGCAGUCGCUGAGAAGACGACCAAACUUGAUCAUUUAGAGGAAGUAAAAGUCGUAACAAGGUUUCCGUAGGUGAACCUGCGGAAGGAUCAUUA
rfam:Echinococcus multilocularis genomic scaffold, pathogen_EmW_scaffold_07